AGCGAACGCUGGCGGCAUGCUUAACACAUGCAAGUCGCACGGAUCUUUCGGGAUCAGUGGCGGACGGGUGAGUAACGCGUAGGGAUCUAUCCAUGGGUGGGGGACAACUCCGGGAAACUGGAGCUAAUACCGCAUGAUACCUGAGGGUCAAAGGCGCAAGUCGCCUGUGGAGGAACCUGCGUUCGAUUAGCUAGUUGGUGGGGUAAAGGCCUACCAAGGCGAUGAUCGAUAGCUGGUUUGAGAGGAUGAUCAGCCACACUGGGACUGCGACACGGCCCAGACUCCUACGGGAAGCAGCAGUGGGGAAUAUUGGACAAUGGGCGAAAGCCUGAUCCAGCAAUGCCGCGUGUGUGAAGAAGGUCUUCGGAUUGUAAAGCACUUUCGACGGGGACGAUGAUGACGGUACCCGUAGAAGAAGCCCCGGCUAACUUCGUG
rnacentral:rRNA from 1 species